rnacentral:rRNA from 1 species
AUACGGAGGAUACAAGCGUUAUCCGGAUUUAUUGGGUUUAAAGGGUGCGUAGGCGGACUGGUAAGUCAGCUGUGAAAGCUUGCGGCUUAACCGUAAAAUUGCAGUUGAUACUGUCAGUCUUGAAUGUGCAUGAGGUGGGCGGAAUCUGUCGGGGAACGGUGAAAUGCUUAGAUAUCACGAGGAACUCCAAUUGCGAAGGCAGCUCACUGGGGCAUAACUAGCGCUGAUGCUCGAAGGUGUGGGUAUCAAACAGGAUUAGAUACCCUGGUAGUCCACACGGUGAGCUAUGAAUGCUCGCUGUUUGCGAUAUACAGUAAGCGGCCAAGCGAAAGCAUUAAGUAUUCCACCUGGGGAGUACGCCGGCAACGGUGAAACUCAAAUGAAUUGACGGGG